GUCAAGUAAGAAUACCCGCUGAACUUAAGCAUAUCAAUAAGCGGAGGAAAAGAAACUAACUAGGAUUCCCUUAGUAACGGCGAGUGAACUGGGAAAAGCUCAAAUUUUAAAUCACCCCGGUGAAUUGUAAUUUGAAGAAAGUGAUUUGACUUUUCAGUUUAAUCUAAAUCCUUUGGGAUGAGGUAUCAUAGAGGGUGAGAAUCCCGUUCUUGAUUAAACCUCGGAUUGCACUAAUUCACUUUCUAAGAGUCGAGUUGUUUGGGAUUGCAGCUCCAAAUGGGUGGUAAAUUUCACCUAAGGCUAAAUAUAUGCAAGAGACCGAUAGCGAACAAGUACCGUGAGGGAAAGAUGAAAAGAACUUUGAAAAGAGAGUUAAAUAGUACGUGAAAUUGUUGAAAGGGAAACGAUUGAAGUCAGUCAUGCUAGUGAGGAAUCAACUUGGUGGUUUACUUCCUUGUGCAUUUUCUCGCUUGGCAGGUUAGCAUCAAUUUUGGUUGUCAUCAAAGAAUUGGGGGAAUGUGGCUUUUCUUCGGUAAAGUGUUAUAGACCCUGAUUGAUGUGGCGACUGGGAUUGAGGUUUGCAGCGAAUGCCUUUUUGGGCUAGUCACCUGUCUUCUGACCGUCACCUCGCUUUUGACAGCUUGCUGAUGAUCGCGGGAUUUGGCGACCUAGGAGUUAGAGUGAACAUAAAUUCGCUAAGGAAGCUGACGUAAUGGCUUUAAACGACCCGUCUUGAAACACGGACCAAGGAGUCUAACAUAUGUGCGAGUGUU
rnacentral:rRNA from 1 species